UGGGGAAUUCUGGACAAUGGGCGCAAGCCUGAACCAGCCAUCCCGCGUGCAGGAAGACGGCCCUAUGGGUUGUAAACUGCUUUUCCAGGGGGAGAAUUUUUCUGUCGUGACAGGAAUUGACGGUACCCUGGGAAUAAGCAUCGGCUAACUCCGUGCCAGCAGCCGCGGUAAUACGGAGGAUGCGAGCGUUAUCCGGAUUUAUUGGGUUUAAAGGGUGCGUAGGCGGAUAGAUAAGUCAGUGGUGAAAACCUGCAGCUUAACUGUAGACUUGCCGUUGAUACUGUCAUUCUUGAGUAUGGUCAAGGUAGGCGGAAUGUGUAAUGUAGCGGUGAAAUGCUUAGAUAUGACACAGAACACCGAUUGCGAAGGCAGCUGGCUGGGAGAUUACUGACGGUGAUGCACGAAAGCGUGGGGAUCGAACA
rnacentral:rRNA from 1 species